GACGAACGCUGGCGGCGUGCCUAAUACAUGCAAGUCGAACGGUCUUUUCUAUGGAAGCUUGCUUCCACUGAGAAGAUAGUGGCGAACGGGUGAGUAACACGUGGGUAACCUGCCCAUAAGAGGGGGAUAACAUCCGGAAACGGGUGCUAAUACCGCAUGGUUUUCUUGAUCGCAUGAUCGGGAAAGGAAAGACGGCCUUUGUGCUGUCGCUUAUGGAUGGACCCGCGGCGUAUUAGUUAGUUGGUGAGGUAACGGCUCACCAAGACGAUGAUACGUAGCCGACCUGAGAGGGUGAGUGGCCACAUUGGGACUGAGACACGGCCAAACUCCUACGGGAGGCAGCAGUAGGGAAUCUUCCGCAAUGGACGAAAGUCUGGCGGAGCAGCGCCGCGUGAGUGAAGAAGGUUUUCGGAUCGUAAAACUCUGUUGUCAGAGAAGAACAAGUUGGAGAGUAACUGCUCCAGCCUUGACGGUAUCUGACCAGAAAGCCACGGCUAACUACGUGCCAGCCGCCGCGGUAAAAC
rnacentral:rRNA from 1 species